CCCUUAGAUGUUCUGGGCCGCACGCACGCUACACUGAUGAAUGCAACGAGCUCUACCCUUGACCGAAAGGCCCGGGUAAACUUGUGAAACUUCAUCGUGAUGGGGAUAGAUUAUUGCAAUUAUUAAUCUUCAACGAGGAAUUCCUAGUAAGCGCGAGUCAUCAGCUCGCGUUGAUUACGUCCCUGCCCUUUGUACACACCGCCCGUCGCUCCUACCGAUUGAAUGGUCCGGUGAAAUCUUCGGAUUGCUGACCAAGAUCCAGCAAUGGAGCUUGGUUGCGAGAAGUUGAUUAAACCUUAUUAUUUAGAGGAAGGAGAAGUCGUAACA
rnacentral:rRNA from 1 species